GACGAACGCUGGCGGCGUGCUUAACACAUGCAAGUCGAACGAUGAAGCCGGAGCUUGCUCUGGUGAAUUAGUGGCGAACGGGCGAGUAACACGUGAGUAACCUGCCCUUGGCUCUGGGAUAACUGCUAGAAAUGGUAGCUAAUACCGGAUACGACCCUCGGAGGCAUCUCCAGGGGGUGGAAAGAAUUUCGGUCAAGGAUGGACUCGCGGCCUGUCAGCUAGUUGGUGAGGUAACGGCUCACCAAGGCGACGACGGGUAGCCGGCCUGAGAGGGUGACCGGCCACACUGGGACUGAGACACGGCCCAGACUCCUACGGGAGGCAGCAGUGAGGAAUAUUGCACAAUGGGCGCAAGCCUGAUGCAGCAACGCCGCGUGAGGGAUGACGGCCUUCGGGUUGUAAACCUCUUUUAGUAGGGAAGAAGCGAAAGUGACGGUACCUGCAGAAAAAGCACCGGCUAACUACGUGCCAGCAGCCGCAGUAA
rnacentral:rRNA from 1 species